rnacentral:tRNA from 2 species
GUCACUUUGGCGGAGUGGUUAACGCGCUGCCCUGCUAGUCCUUGGUUAGCCGGUAGGCAGUUCCUUCGGGAGCGUAGGUUCGAAUCCUACAGGUGACG